rnacentral:rRNA from 1 species
UGGUGCCAGCAGCCGCGGUAAUUCCAGCUCCAAUAGCGUAUAUUAAGGUUGUUGCAGUUAAAAAGCUCGUAGUUGAAUUUCGGGAUUAGUACGUUGGUCGUGCCUUAGGUACGUACUGGUGUUACUGGUUCCUACCUUCUGACGAACCAUCAUGUCAUUAAUUUGGUGUGGCGGGGAAUCAGGACUGUUACUUUGAAAAAAUUAGAGUGUUUAAAGCAGGCUCGCGCUUGAAUACAUUAGCAUGGAAUAAUGAAAUAGGACGUUGACCCUAUUUUGUUGGUUUCUAGGAUUGACGUAAUGAUUAAUAGGGAUAGUUGGGGGCAUUAGUAUUCAAUUGUCAGAGGUGAAAUUCUUGGAUUUAUUGAAGACUAACUACUGCGAAAGCAUUUGCCAAGGAUGUUUUCAUUAAUCAAGAACGAAAGUUAGGGGAUCGAAGACGAUCAGAUACCGUCGUAGUCUUAACCAUAAACUAUGCCGACUAGGGA